ACGGCUGCGGGCGGCAGGGAACAGGUGCCCGCAGCACCAGACAGAACACCGUGUCCCGGAACAUCGGGGCACUUCAGGGCGUU
rnacentral:sRNA from 14 species